CAUUCACGGAGAGUUUGAUCCUGGCUCAGGACGAACGCUGGCGGCGUGCUUAACACAUGCAAGUCGAACGAUGAACCACUUCGGUGGGGAUUAGUGGCGAACGGGUGAGUAACACGUGGGCAAUCUGCCCUUCACUCUGGGACAAGCCCUGGAAACGGGGUCUAAUACCGGAUAACACCUUCCCUC
rnacentral:rRNA from 1 species